UUAGUGAAAUCGAGUAGGACGGGACACGUGAUAUCCUGUUUGAACAUGGGGGGACCAUCCUCCAAGGCUAAAUACUCCUGACUGACCGAUAGUGAACCAGUACCGUGAGGGAAAGGCGAAAAGAACCCCUGUGAGGGGAGUGAAAUAGAACCUGAAACCGUGUACGUACAAGCAGUAGGAGCCCACUUGUUGGGUGACUGCGUACCUUUUGUAUAAUGGGUCAGCGACUUAAUUUUAGUAGCAAGGUUAACCGUUUAGGGGAGCCGUAGGGAAACCGAGUCUUAACUGGGCGUCAUAGUUGCUAGGAUUAGACCCGAAACCGAGUGAUCUAGCCAUGGGCAGGUUGAAGGUGAGGUAACACUUACUGGAGGACCGAACCGACUAAUGUUGAAAAAUUAGCGGAUGACUUGUGGCUAGGGGUGAAAGGCCAAUCAAACUCGGAGAUAGCUGGUUCUCCCCGAAAGCUAUUUAGGUAGCGCCUCGGACGAAUACUACUGGGGGUAGAGCACUGUUAAGGCUAGGGGGUCAUCCCGACUUACCAACCCUUUGCAAACUCCGAAUACCAGUAAGUAAUAUCCGGGAGACACACGGCGGGUGCUAACGUCCGUCGUGAAGAGGGAAACAACCCAGACCGCCAGCUAAGGUCCCAAAGUUAUAGCUAAGUGGGAAACGAUGUGGGAAGGCUCAGACAGCCAGGAUGUUGGCUUAGAAGCAGCCAUCAUUUAAAGAAAGCGUAAUAGCUCACUGGUCGAGUCGGCCUGCGCGGAAGAUUUAACGGGGCUAAGCUAUACACCGAAGCUGCGGCAAUGUGAAUUUAUUCACAUUGGGUAGGGGAGCGUUCUGUAAGCCGUUGAAGGUGCAUUGUAAAGUGUGCUGGAGGUAUCAGAAGUGCGAAUGCUGACAUGAGUAACGAUAAAGGGAGUGAAAAACUCCCUCGCCGGAAGAUCAAGGGUUCCUGUCCAACGUUAAUCGGGGCAGGGUAAGUCGACCCCUAAGGCGAGGCCGAAAGGCGUAGUCGAUGGGAAACGGGUUAAUAUUCCCGUACUUCUUAUAAUUGCGAUGGAGGGACGGAGAAGGCUAGGUGAGCCUGGCGACGGUUGUCCAGGUCCAAGUAUGUAGGCUGAUG
rnacentral:rRNA from 1 species